UACGAGAGGCCCAAACGUUAUUCGGAAUUACUGGGCUUAAAGAGUUCGUAGGCGGCGCGGAAAGUAGGGUGUGAAGGCCCUCGGCUCAACCGAGGAAUUGCGCCCUAAACUGCCGUGCUUGAGGAACCUAGAGGUGAGCAGAACAGAUGGUGGAGCGGUGAAAUGCGUUGAUAUCAUCUGGAAUACCGGAGGCGAAGGCGGCUCACUGGGGGUUUUCUGACGCUGAGGAACGAAAGCCAGGGGAGCGAACGGG
rnacentral:rRNA from 1 species